GGGUUGUGAGGUUAAGCGACUAAGCGUACACGGUGGAUGCCCUGGCAGUCAGAGGCGAUGAAGGGCGUGCUAAUCUGCGAUAAGCGCCGGUAAGGUGAUAUGAACCGUUAUAACCGGCGAUACCCGAAUGGGGAAACCCAGUGUGAUUCGUCACACUAUCAUUAACUGAAUCCAUAGGUUAAUGAGGCGAACCGGGGGAACUGAAACAUCUAAGUACCCCGAGGAAAAGAAAUCAACCGAGAUUCCCCCAGUAGCGGCGAGCGAACGGGGAGGAGCCCAGAGCCUGAAUCAGCAUGUGUGUUAGUGGAAGCGUCUGGAAAGGCGCGCGAUACAGGGUGACAGCCCCGUACACAAAAGCGCAUAUGCUGUGAGCUCGAUGAGUAGGGCGGGACACGUGGUAUCCUGUCUGAAUAUGGGGGGACCAUCCUCCAAGGCUAAAUACUCCUGACUGACCGAUAGUGAACCAGUACCGUGAGGGAAAGGCGAAAAGAACCCCGGCGAGGGGAGUGAAAAAGAACCUGAAACCGUGUACGUACAAGCAGUGGGAGCCCCACCACUAAGCCAGUGGUGAACUUCACAUACGCAUCCUUUGCUGAGGAUACGGUUAACGGAGCGAAAGCGACGUUCAACCUCAAAAGAAGCAGAGGGGGCUUAGUGGUGGGGUGACUGCGUACCUUUUGUAUAAUGGGUCAGCGACUUAUAUUCUGUAGCAAGGUUAACCG
rnacentral:rRNA from 1 species